GGAAAACCUGCCCUUGGGUCNGGCAUAACCCCGGGGAAACUGGGAAUAAUUCCGGGAUAACGCACAUAUGCUGGAAUGCUUUAUGCGUAAAAUGNAUUCGUCUGCCCAAGNAUGGGUCUGCGGCCUAUCAGGUGGUAGUGGGUGUAAUGUACCUACUAGCCUACAACGGGUACGGGUUGUGAGAGCAAGAGCCCGGAGAUGGAUUCUGAGACAUGAAUCCAGGCCNUACGGGGCGCAGCAGGCGCGAAAACUUUACAAUGCGGGAAACCGUGAUAAGGGGACACCGAGUGCCAGCAUCAUAUGCUGGCUGUCCAGGUGUGUAAAAUACACCUGUCAGCAAGGGCCGGGCAAGACCGGUGCCAGCCGCCGCGGUAACACCGGCGGCCCGAGUGGUGAUCGUGAUUAUUGGGUCUAAAGGGUCCGUAGCCGGUUUGGUCAGUCCUCCGGGAAAUCUGACGGCUCAACCGUUAGGCUUUCGGGGGAUACUGCCAGGCUUGGAACCGGGAGAGGUAAGAGGUACUACAGGGGUAGGAGUGAAAUCUUGUAAUCCCUGUGGGACCACCUGUGGCGAAGGCGUCUUACCAGAACGGGUUCGACGGUGAGGGACGAAAGCUGGGGGCACGAACCGGAUUAGAUACCCGGGUAGUCCCAGCCGUAAACGAUGCUCGCUAGGUGUCAGGCAUGGCGCGACCGUGUCUGGUGCCGCAGGGAAGCCGUGAAGCGAGCCACCUGGGAAGUACGGCCGCAAGGCUGAAACUUAA
rnacentral:rRNA from 1 species